rnacentral:rRNA from 1 species
UACGGAGGGAGCUAGCGUUGUUCGGAAUUACUGGGCGUAAAGCGCACGUAGGCGGCUUUGUAAGUUAGAGGUGAAAGCCCGGAGCUCAACUCCGGAAUUGCCUUUAAGACUGCAUCGCUUGAAUCCAGGAGAGGUGAGUGGAAUUCCGAGUGUAGAGGUGAAAUUCGUAGAUAUUCGGAAGAACACCAGUGGCGAAGGCGACUCACUGGACGACUGUUGACGCUGAGGUGCGAAAGCGUGGGGAGCAAACAGG